UAGCAGUCAGUUCUGGGCCGACUCUGGCUGUCUUCCGCCAGUGUCGGCUGACUCACGUACAGAUUAUCAGUGUAUAUGCCAGACUUGGUCCAGAAGUGGACGUAGCAUUACAAUAUGUUGGUAGUAAAGCUAUUACUGGGCCAAAGGUUGUUACAUAGGUCAUGGCCCAAUACUAUGCCGUUAGUUGUUGGCCCACAACACCGACUGAAUGCAACCGUCUGUGAAGUAUACAUGUCGUUGCUGGGCCAGAACCGAUAACACUAACAUCAACCAGCAUUUAUUUAUGCCAGGUGCAACAGGGAAGGUUACAUUGUUUUUAACUACAGCCUGUCCCGAACUGACGCACUCGUGUCUACAUUUCACAAAAUGCAAUUGUCUUGUCCAACCAACUGCCAGUUAAAUACACAUUAUAAAAUAGCACAUCUACCUAGUUUUUAUUCCAUUAGUUUUUAUUUAGUCAAUCACAGUCGUAAAAGAAAGUAAAGCUGAUCGUGUGAAAUCCCGGGGGAACACCAGCGGGAGACCCUGAUGAAUAUACCAAGCGCUCCUCAAAAUCUCGACGCGGUUGGGAAACAACGGUCUGCCUUCAAGUGCGCAGUGAAUUUCAUCGGCGUCAGUCCACUAUCGCUGUCCAGUUCCCUCAGAAACCAGGACAUUCAUUCAGCAGAAGGCCACAAGACAGUUCACCAAGUGGGAGCUGCAGCGGGACGCCUGCAGGAGUUGACUAUUCUGAUCAUCCAGGGCCUCAGCCAGUGCCUGUGCCAUCCUGGAGUCGUCAGGCCCCAUUUGAAACUACAACCUCAUUAAUGCGGGAAAUGCUUGACUAAACAGGAGAUGAUUCUCGAGCAACAAACACGCAUCCUACAGAUUCUACAUGCAAGAAAACAAGAUGCGUCUCAAUUUGAAAUAGAUGAGGGUCUCCUGCCAGUAAGGGACCAGCAAGGCCUCCAACGUCUUGAAAGCCAACUUCAGGAAUCUGACUUUCGAUCAAAACUGAUAAACCAUCUCAGCCUGAUUGGCGGAAGUGAUGUCAAGGAUACGUUUUGGCGUCUCAUGAAGACAACAAUCUCAAACACCCUGGCAAAGGAAACCAAUUGGAGAGGAGUAAAUGGGACGGCUGAAGACGGCUGUAAUCGCUGCCGUACGGAAGAACCCACUGACAUCGAGGGCUUCUGAACGUGAGGUGGAGAUGUUCAUGAAGAGGUGGAGAUGUUCAUGAAGAGGUGGCUACAGCUGGCAGCGGACAGAAGGGGGCAGAAGGAGGGGGGCCCAAAUACCUUCAGCUCCCUGAACUUGUUGAUUAUUGUUAUAUUGAUACUUGUUAUAUUGAUUGUUAAGCUCUUCAAUACAUUGUUUUAAAAAUAAGUUUAGCUCCAUGAACUUGUUGGUUAUUGUUAUAUUGAUACUUGUUAUCUUGAUUGUUGCUCUAUUUCAAUACAUUGAUUUACAAAUACUGUACAAUUUUAAUUAAAGUUGAGUUAAACUUU